rnacentral:rRNA from 1 species
AACGAACGCUGGCGGCAUGCCUAACACAUGCAAGUCGAACGAGACCUUCGGGUCUAGUGGCGCACGGGUGCGUAACGCGUGGGAACCUGCCCUUAGGUUCGGAAUAACUCCCCGAAAGGGGUGCUAAUACCGGAUAAUGUCUUCGGACCAAAGAUUUAUCGCCUUUGGAUGGGCCCGCGUUGGAUUAGCUAGUUGGUAGGGUAAAAGCCUACCAAGGCGACGAUCCAUAGCUGGUCUGAGAGGAUGAUCAGCCACACUGGGACUGAGACACGGCCCAGACUCCUACGGGAGGCAGCAGUGGGGAAUAUUGGACAAUGGGCGAAAGCCUGAUCCAGAAAUGCCGCGUGAGUGAUGAAGGCCUUAGGGUUGUAAAGCUCUUUUACCCGGGAGGAUAAUGACAGUACCGGGAGAAUAAGCUCCGGCUAACUCCGUG